rnacentral:rRNA from 1 species
CGGCGGACGGGUGAGUAACGCGUGGGUAACCUGCCUCAUACAGGGGGAUAACAGUUAGAAAUGACUGCCAAUACCGCAUAAGACCACAGCACCGCAUGGUGCGGGGGUAAAAACUCCGGUGGUAUGAGAUGGACCCGCGUCUGAUUAGCUAGUUGGUAAGGUAACGGCUUACCAAGGCGACGAUCAGUAGCCGACCUGAGAGGGUGACCGGCCACAUUGGGACUGAGACACGGCCCAA